UGUCCAGAGAUGGGAAUCGAACCCACAGUGUUCUGCUUACCGGGCAAAUGCCAUGUCCACCAAGCAAUGAUAAAAC